rnacentral:lncRNA from 1 species
UCCAUGUGUACUCUUUCUCUCCAACCUGUGAAAUUCAAUGAAAUUUGUGCGUAAUUUCUUUUGGGAAAGGGGUUCAAAAGGAUCCACAUUGCACUAGAUUUAUCCAGAAAUAGUACAUUCACCCAUCCCGCAAGGACACAAUAAAAAUUGAAAACUACAAACCUGACCCUACAUAUUAUUAAAAACACCCCAAACGACAAACUUAAAUCACAAUUCAAUCCUGAUCCAAG